AGUGAACGCUGGCGGUAGGCCUAACACAUGCGAGUCGAACGGCAGCACAGUAAGAGCUUGCUCUUACGGGUGGCGAGUGGCGGACGGGUGAGGAAUACAUCGGAAUCUACUUUUUCGUGGGGGAUAACGUAGGGAAACUUACGCUAAUACCGCAUACGACCUACGGGUGAAAGCAGGGGAUCUUCGGACCUUGCGCGAUUGAAUGAGCCGAUGUCGGAUUAGCUAGUUGGCGGGGUAAAGGCCCACCAAGGCGACGAUCCGUAGCUGGUCUGAGAGGAUGGUCGGCCACACUGGAACUGAGACACGGUCCAGACUCCUACGGGAGGCAGCAGUGGGGAAUAUUGGACAAUGGGCGCAAGCCUGAUCCAGCCAUACCGCGUGGGUGAAGAAGGCCUUCGGGUUGUAAAGCCCUUUUGUUGGGAAAGAAAAGCAGCAGGUUAAUACCCCGCUGUUCUGACGGUACCCAAAGAAUAAGCACCGGCUAACUUCGUG
rnacentral:rRNA from 1 species